rnacentral:tRNA from 1 species
CGGCGAGUAGCGCAGCUUGGUAGCGCAACUGGUUUGGGGACCAGUGGGUCGGAGGUUCGAAUCCUCUCUCGCCGACCA